UACUUGGAAAGGCACCAGUU
rnacentral:miRNA from 1 species